rnacentral:sRNA from 1 species
GCUGAGCAUGGUGGCACACGCCUGUAAUCCCAGUGUCAAGGGAGGCAGAGGCAGGAGGAUCACAAGUUUGAGGCCAGCGUGGGUAACUUUGUGAGACUCUGUCUCAA